rnacentral:rRNA from 1 species
AUUGAACGCUGGCGGCAUGCCUUACACAUGCAAGUCGGACGGUAACAGGUCUUCGGAUGCUGACGAGUGGCGAACGGGUGAGUAAUGCAUCGGAACGUGCCCAGUUGUGGGGGAUAACUGCUCGAAAGAGCAGCUAAUACCGCAUACGACCUGAGGGUGAAAGCGGGGGAUCGCAAGACCUCGCGCAAUUGGAGCGGCCGAUGUCAGAUUAGGUAGUUGGUGGGGUAAAGGCCUACCAAGCCGACGAUCUGUAGUUGGUCUGAGAGGACGACCAGCCAACCUGGGACGUAGACCCGGCCCAGACUCCUACGGGAGGCAGCAGUGGGGAAGUUUGGACAAUGGGCGCAAGCCUGAUCCAGCAAUGCCGCGUGCAGGAAGAAGGCCUUCGGGUUGUAAACUGCUUUUGUCAGGGAAGGAAUCCUCUGGGUUAAUACCCCGGGGGGAUGACGGUACCUGAAGAAUAAGCACCGGCUAACUACGUGCCAGCCGCCGCGGUAAAAC